rnacentral:rRNA from 1 species
AGAUGCGAGAGUAGAGCAUAUCAAUAAGCGGAGGAAAAGAAACUAACAAGGAUUCCCUUAGUAACGGCGAGUGAAGCGGGAAGAGCUCAAAUUUGAAAUCUUCAAGGUUCUACCUUGACGAAUUGUAGUUUAUAAGAAGUGUUUUCUGUUAGUGGAGUUGGCUAAAAGUUCUUUGGAAUAGGACAUCAUAGAGGGUGAGAAUCCCGUAUUUGGUACCAUUAUCUCCUAACUUUGUGAUACACUUUCAACGAGUCGGAUUGUUUGGGAAUGCAGUCCAAAAUGGGUGGUAAAUUUCAUCUAAAGCUAAAUAUUGGCGAGAGACCGAUAGCGAACAAGUACCGUGAGGGAAAGAUGAAAAGAACUUUGAAAAGAGAGUUAAACAGUACGUGAAAUUGUCAAAAGGGAAGCGUUUGACACCAGUGUUGUUUAGUUCGAAAAUCAAUUCAAUAAUUUUGAUUAUGCAAGGUAGUAUUGACCUUCAUCAGCUUGCAGCUUUCUUUUCAGGAAUUAUUGAAUGCACUUUUCAGUUAACAAGUCAACAUCAAUUUCUUUUGUUGUAAAAGGGUAAGAGGAAGGUGGCUUACGCUUCGGCGUAAGUGUUUAUAGCCUUUUACCUCUGCAAUCGGAGAGAUUGAGGACAGCAGCGUAGACUCUUCGGGGUUAGAUACACUUGUGCUAAGCUAUAGCCUUGUAUAGACAACUUGUUGACUAUGCUCAGUCAUGUAGCUUACUCGCUUGUGCUAUUUUACCUACGCUUAGGAUGUUGACGCGCGUGUGUGCGUG